rnacentral:tRNA from 1 species
GCGGGGGUGCCCGAGUCAGGUCAAAGGGGGCUGUAGGGAAAUCCGCUGGCGUAGGCCUGCGUGGGUUCAAAUCCCACCCCCCGCACCA